GGAAGUAAAAGUCGUAACAAGGUUUCCGUAGGUGAACCUGCGGAAGGAUCAUUACUGAUUUAGCGAACCGAGCGUUAGCGAGGUUUUGCGAUCAAUUUAUAUUUAAAACCCACUCUUUAAUGUAUAAAAUUUGUAUUAAUGAUAAAUUAAAAGAUCACUUUCAACAACGGAUCUCUUGGCUCUCGCAUCGAUGAAGAACGUAGCGAAGUGCGAUAAGUAAUGUGAAUUGCAGUAUUCCGUGAAUCAUCGAAUCUUUGAACGCAUAUUGCACUUUCUGGUAUUCCGGAAAGUAUGCCUGUUUGAGGGUCAGUUAAAUAAAAAUCGGUGUUGUUGCUGCCUUUCGUGGUGACGCGUCGGAAUUGAGUUGUCUUACCUUCGGUUAAGUGACCUAAAAUUUUGUAUGAUUUUUACAAACGUAUUUAAAAUAUUUUUGUACGUUUUUGUAAUAUUCAGUUUUAUUAGAUGUGGUCAUUUUUAUGGUUCGCGUCUAUAAUUUCUCAUCUAUUGACCUCAAAUCAGGUAAGAAUACCCGCUGAACUUAAGCAUAUCAAUAAGCGGAGGA
rnacentral:rRNA from 1 species